rnacentral:rRNA from 1 species
GAUGAACGCUGGCGGCGUGCCUAAUACAUGCAAGUCGAGCGAACAGACGAGGAGCUUGCUCCUCUGACGUUAGCGGCGGACGGGUGAGUAACACGUGGAUAACCUACCUAUAAGACUGGGAUAACUUCGGGAAACCGGAGCUAAUACCGGAUAAUAUAUUGAACCGCAUGGUUCAAUAGUGAAAGACGGUUUUGCUGUCACUUAUAGAUGGAUCCGCGCCGCAUUAGCUAGUUGGUAAGGUAACGGCUUACCAAGGCGACGAUGCGUAGCCGACCUGAGAGGGUGAUCGGCCACACGGGAACUGAGACACGGUCCAGACUCCUAGGGGAGGCAGCAGUAGGGAAUCUUCCGCAAGGGGCGAAAGCCUGACGGAGCAACGCCGCGUGAGUGAUGAAGGUCUUCGGAUCGUAAAACUCUGUUAUUAGGGAAGAACAAAUGUGUAAGUAACUAUGCACGUCUUGACGGUACCUAAGCAGAAAGCCACGGCUAACUACGU